UCUACUUAUAUUCUUUUAAUUAUGAAACCACUUCCUCACCUUUCAAUUUUUUCUGCCCAAAAUAUAUUUAUCUUUUUACUCUUUUCUUGGCUCUUGUUAGUUUAUCACAUGUCACCUCUCUAUUUGACCAUAUGAGCUGAGCUGAUUAGUUGGCACCGUAAUUUUCUAUGCCAACGCCACUUUAAUUGGAUACAUGAUCGGAAUUUCUCAGUUGUUGAACUUUUUGUAUUUAGCGAAGAGCAUUUGGCGG
rnacentral:lncRNA from 1 species